UACUGUAUGGCACAUCUACAGGUUGAAAGAAGGUAACCACAUCUAAACCAGAGCAGAAAGGUGGGAGCCUUUUGCUGGCAAUGCAUUAGUUCAUCUCUUCACAACUUCAGAAAGACUUGGGGAAGCUAAGUGAACAGAAGCUGCAAGGAUGAGAAAUCAAUCAAUGGACUGUGCAUGUGUAGAAGUGAGAAGCGUGCUAACUGCAGCUCUGAAGAAGCACCCUGAUUGCCAAUUUAAUGGAGAUGCAUAGACCCAUGAGAAGACAAUGGGCCAACUGUAUCCCUAGUAAAAGCCACAUGAAAAGUGGAAUUGCACUAGGUAUGACUUUACCCCAAUGUGUUUAGCUUACCAGCUGUCUUGUUUGUAUGGCUACAUGAGCCCAUGCCAUCCUUGCCUCUUCUGUAAAUACAGAACUGGGGAAUAUUUAUAUUCUGUAAUCUCCAUACUAUGCAGUAUGGUGGAGGUAAAUUUCACUGGGCCUGUAAUGUGACUGAUAUGUGAGGGAGAAUGUGUUUUGAUAUCUCUGUAUAGAGCAUCCCUCUACUAGUCUAAUUUAAUUGAAAGAAAAUGAUAGUGAUCCAAGAUGAAUGUUCCAGGCUGAAGGUGACUAACUUGAUGGUGACAAAAGCUUUAAAAUAACCCCUUCUCCCCCCCCCCCUUUUUUUUUACACUAAAAUAAUGCUUCAAUAAUAUGAGGUGAAGGAGAAAUUCCAUCUGAGCAAAGGAAUGGGAGCCAGCUGCUAGGGAAGAAUGUGGAACAAGAUCUGCAGGAGAACGUAUGAAACAUAUUAGGAAAAGACAGAUUAACCUAUCAAGACCUACAUUUUAGUUUCUGUUUCUCCUAAAGAGUUGAUGACUACACAAAUAUUUUAAACACUAUAAGAAGUCAAUUUCCCUCCUGCCCUGCUGCUUUAGGUUUUUUUUAAUGUCAUCUCCUCUUCCUGGAGAAUCUUGAAUUCAGGCCAGGAAGAUGAGAGGAAAAAACUUUCAAACUCUCUGAAAAUGAAACAUCACUGACGAAUGGAAAUGAGGUGCUUCGAUAUCUUCACUGUUGCCCUUCUCCAUUAGACACGGUCUGCAAGGAGAAGGCUGGGACUUGCAAACUCCAACUAAGAAUGAAAGCAAGCAACUAAGAAUGAAUAUUCCUUCAACUGCUGUAUGUCUAGGGCGAGAAUGAAUCCAUGAGCUAUGAUGGCAUCGCUGUUGGAGUUUUCUGCACAUUCUAAGCAUCAUGGCAUUGAGCUAUUGCUCACAGAGUUGAGAAAAUUAUAUGAUACCAGCUUUUCAGAAUGAUUAAAUUACUGAAUAUCUAUGGAAAGGGGAAAAAUUGAAGGAAAUAAUUGAAUGAUUCCCUUUAGAAAACUCUGCAAAGGUGCAACCAUCAAAGGCAAGUGAUUGGGAGGAAAAUGGUAAUUUAUAACCAAUUAAAGUUGGGUGUGUAGAAAGGGAAACACAAUAAGAGCUUUAAAAAAAUAAUUUGCAAAUAUCACUUUUAUACUAAAACUAUGUAUUUCAGAAUGUGGGUGAAGGGGUGGAAAAAAGUAUGGUUUAGGAUGAGCACUGUGGCUUUCUAAACGAAGAAUACAGUAUAGAGAGCUGUGGUGUUCAGGGUUGCUAGUAAAAGGAAAGGUUAAGCACCUCGAAAACAGAACUGGACCUAAGCUACAGAAUUUGGAUUCAAGAUCAGAUAUGGAUUUUGACCCCAUGCUCACAAGUUCGGAUGCAUUCUGAUGCUGGGCUCCAACAAUUUGGUUUUGGAAACUUUCAGGGUUUCAAUUUUUGAGCAUCUGUGUUUCCACAAUUUUGUGCUGAAUUAGGAUCUUUAAAAAAUGUUACUAUAAAAACACCACAUCAAGUGCAAGAUGGUUACAAUCUGCCCAGGAACAGUCUAGUAGAAUCAAACUGUUUUUAGUUAUCAAAAGUGUGUCAUUUAUUAAAUUCCUAGAAAUAAAAUCUUGCAUGGUGCACUGAAAUAAAAACCCCAUUCACAAGUGCAAAUACUGGUGCGUACUGUCUGUGUGGGAGAACAAUGGCAUAAAUAGUCAUCUGAGUGCACAGAAGUAAAAUCUAUGUUUAAAUAUAGAAUUUUCUAAAGGUGGUCUCAUUUUGUUGCAAAUUAUUAAGAAAAUGUAGCUAAACUAUCCAAUAUACCUGAUGCGAAUACUCUAACUAAACAAUUGUUAUUGCUAUAGACCAGAGUACCUAAUUUAUACAGAGGUCUACUGAAUCUUAGAUAAACCUAGCUUACAAAAAUCUUUAGGGCAAAGGCUACAUUAUGGAGAUGUAUCGGGCGGGAGUUGAGGGGAGAGAGAACAGGAUUGUGGUUUUUUUUUGGUUUUUUUUCCUAUUCCUGACAAUAUAUUAGGCUAAAUCUCUCCAAGGCUUAAUCUAGAGUGUAGUAUUUAAACCCCCUAUAAAGAAAAGGAGUGAUCCAACCUUCUCCUCCUCCUCUCUCUCCUACUCCAGAGAGAAAUCCUCAGUGAUGAAUAUAAACAUGGUAGAUAAACAAAAGAGAUGAAUAAGAAAUAGCUCCAGACAGUUGCCAUGGAAUGCUUUCAUGUGUGAAAAUAUUGGUUAUUUCAAUGCUCAAAGUAUCACUGAAGUUAGACAAAACAUAGAUAACUCCGAGUUUGUUAAAUAAUGUUUAGCCAUGUGACUGAAAACCACUAGAAGGAUGCUUAUACCCACGAAUGUGGUAAAUUCAUCUGGAGUAGUUUAAGUUCAAUCAAUAUUUAAUUAAUUUAAAACUAAGAACUGGAGUCAAUUUAAGAACAGACUAAAAUCUGUUCAUACUUUUAUACAAUUGCUUCAGUAAAAGAUUAAAACAUACUGACACAUGGAACUGGAGUAUCCUAUGAUGCAGCUACAUUUUGUAAGAAUGAAUAUGACUGAUGGCAUGCUUUUAAGAAAAGAAAGCUUCACUCAUACCAGUGGCUUGUUUAAAUGACUAUGCCAAGACUUAAAUGAAUCACUAUCUAGAACAGUGAAUUUCAAAGUUCGGGUCGCGACCCAGUACUGGGUCACAGAAUGCAAGGCACUGGGUCGCUUUGCUCAGCACCCUGGCAGCCGGCCAGUAAAAACUAGUAGUCCCUACCUGUUCUGACACCGCACUGCGCCCCAGAAGUGGCCAGCAGGUCCGGCUCGUAGGCAGGGGGCCAUGGAGGUUCUGUGCGCUGCCCUUGCACCGAGCACUGGCUCUGUACUCCCAUUGGCCAGUUCCCAGCCAAUGGGAGCUGGGGGGGUGCCUGUGGGCGAGAGCCACACAGAGCUGCUUGUGUGCCUCCACCUAGGAGCCGGACCUUCCGGACGCUUCCGGGGCACAACACAGUUCGCAGCGCCAGGAUAGGCAGGAAGCCUGCCUCUGCACCCCGGCUGCGCUGCUGACCAGGAGCCACAGGAUGUAAGCCCGCACCCCUGCACCAGCCCUGAGCCCCCUCCCACACCCUGAAUCCCUAAUUCCUGGCUCCACUCCACAGCCCUCAUCCCCGCAUCCCAACCCUCUGCCCCAGCCCUGAGCCCCCUCCCACACCCCAUCCGUUUGGUCACGGGCAUCAACAACUUUCUUCAACCGGGUCGCCAGAAAAAAAGUUUGAAAGCUACUGAUCUAGAACAGUAUCUAGGGCAGAAAGAAUUUUUGAAACUGAUAAUGCUGUCAGGUCUCAAUCUCAACUGUUAAAAACUGAGAAUCAUCAUGAGGUCAACAGUUUGAAACAAUUCAGAUGUAAAAAAAACCCCUCCGAUACAUGAAGGAAUGUAGUGUAUUUUCUACACAAAUAAGCAUCGAUAACUAGAAAUGAAUAAUGCAUCUAUUUACCAUUUGUUGUCUAGCUUCUUCAAAGGCACGUUUUUCCUCUUCCAAACGUUGUCUUGCCUCCUCCUCUGCCUGCCUUCUUUGAUUUUCUUGUCUUUGUCUUUCCAGUUCUUCAAAUGUUAAUUUCAGUUUCCCAGGAGAAAGAGGUUCAUUUGUUUCACUG